rnacentral:rRNA from 1 species
GGUUAAGUGACUAAGCGUACACGGUGGAUGCCUUGGCAGUCAGAGGCGAUGAAAGACGUAGUAACUUGCGAUAAGCCCAGAUUAGGUAGUAACAACCAUUUGAGUCUGGGAUUUCUGAAUGGGGAAACCCACGUGCAUAAGCACGUAUCCUUACCUGAAUACAUAGGGUAAGGAGGCGAACCGGGGGAACUGAAACAUCUAAGUACCCCGAGGAAAAGAAAUCAACCGAGAUUCCGAAAGUAGCGGCGAGCGAAAUUGGACUAGCCCUUAAGCUUUACACGCGUUAGACGAACGGUCUGGAAAGUCCGACGAUACAGGGUGAUAGUCCCGUAGUUGACGACGUGUGUUCAGUGAAAUCGAGUAGGGCGGGACACGUGAUAUCCUGUCUGAAUAUGGGGGGACCAUCCUCCAAGGCUAAAUACUACUGACUGACCGAUAGUGAACCAGUACCGUGAGGGAAAGGCGAAAAGAACCCCUGUGAGGGGAGUGAAAUAGAACCUGAAACCGUGUACGUACAAGCAGUAGGAGCAGGCUUUGUCCUGUGACUGCGUACCUUUUGUAUAAUGGGUCAGCGACUUAUAUUCAGUGGCAAGGUUAACCAUCUAGGGGAGCCGUAGGGAAACCGAGUCUUAACUGGGCGUUCAGUCUCUGGAUAUAGACCCGAAACCAGGUGAUCUAGCCAUGGGCAGGUUGAAGGUUGAGUAACAUCAACUGGAGGACCGAACCGACUAAUGUUGAAAAAUUAGCGGAUGACUUGUGGCUAGGGGUGAAAGGCCAAUCAAACCUGGAGAUAGCUGGUUCUCCCCGAAAGCUAUUUAGGUAGCGCCUCGGACGAAUACUACUGGGGGUAGAGCACUGUUAAGGCUAGGGGGUCAUCCCGACUUACCAACCCUUUGCAAACUCCGAAUACCAGUAAGUACUAUCCGGGAGACACACGGCGGGUGCUAACGUCCGUCGUGGAGAGGGAAACAACCCAGACCGCCAGCUAAGGUCCCAAAUUACUACUAAGUGGGAAACGAUGUGGGAAGGCUCAGACAGCCAGGAUGUUGGCUUAGAAGCAGCCAUCAUUUAAAGAAAGCGUAAUAGCUCACUGGUCGAGUCGGCCUGCGCGGAAGAUGUAACGGGGCUAAGUAGUAAACCGAAGCUGCGGCAAUGUGCUUUUGCACAUUGGGUAGGGGAGCGUUCUGUAAGCGGUUGAAGGUGUGUGGUAACGCAUGCUGGACGUAUCAGAAGUGCGAAUGCUGACAUGAGUAACGAUAAAGGGGGUGAAAAACCUCCUCGCCGGAAGACCAAGGGUUCCUGUCCAACGUUAAUCGGGGCAGGGUAAGUCGACCCCUAAGGCGAGGCCGAAAGGCGUAGUCGAUGGGAAACGGGUUAAUAUUCCCGUACUUCUUACAAUUGCGAUGGGGGGACGGAGAAGGCUAGGUGGGCCUGGCGACGGUUGUCCAGGUUCAAGUGCGUAGGCUUAAGAGUUAGGUAAAUCCGGCUCUUUUUAAGGCUGAGACACGACGUCGAGCCACUACGGUGGUGAAGUCAUUGAUGCCAUGCUUCCAGGAAAAGCCUCUAAGCUUCAGAUUGUAAGGAAUCGUACCCCAAACCGACACAGGUGGUCGGGUAGAGAAUACCAAGGCGCUUGAGAGAACUCGGGUGAAGGAACUAGGCAAAAUGGUACCGUAACUUCGGGAGAAGGUACGCUCUUGAUGGUGAAGUCCCUCGCGGAUGGAGCUGACGAGAGUCGCAGAUACCAGGUGGCUGCAACUGUUUAUUAAAAACACAGCACUGUGCAAAAUCGUAAGAUGACGUAUACGGUGUGACGCCUGCCCGGUGCCGGAAGGUUAAUUGAUGGGGUUAGACUUCGGUCGAAGCUCUUGAUCGAAGCCCCGGUAAACGGCGGCCGUAACUAUAACGGUCCUAAGGUAGCGAAAUUCCUUGUCGGGUAAGUUCCGACCUGCACGAAUGGCGUAAUGAUGGCCACGCUGUCUCCACCCGAGACUCAGUGAAAUUGAAAUCGCUGUGAAGAUGCAGUGUACCCGCGGCUAGACGGAAAGACCCCGUGAACCUUUACUACAGCUUGGCACUGAACAUUGACCCUACAUGUGUAGGAUAGGUGGGAGGCUUUGAAGCACGUACGCCAGUAUGUGUGGAGCCGUCCUUGAAAUACCACCCUUGUAGUGUUGAUGUUCUAACGUCGACCCCUUAUCGGGGUUGCGGACAGUGCCUGGUGGGUAGUUUGACUGGGGCGGUCUCCUCCCAAAGAGUAACGGAGGAGCACGAAGGUGGGCUAAUCACGGUUGGACAUCGUGAGGUUAGUGCAAUGGCAUAAGCCCGCUUGACUGCGAGAAUGACAAUUCGAGCAGGUGCGAAAGCAGGUCAUAGUGAUCCGGUGGUUCUGAAUGGAAGGGCCAUCGCUCAACGGAUAAAAGGUACUCCGGGGAUAACAGGCUGAUACCGCCCAAGAGUUCAUAUCGACGGCGGUGUUUGGCACCUCGAUGUCGGCUCAUCACAUCCUGGGGCUGAAGUCGGUCCCAAGGGUAUGGCUGUUCGCCAUUUAAAGUGGUACGCGAGCUGGGUUUAGAACGUCGUGAGACAGUUCGGUCCCUAUCUGCCGUGGGCGUUGGAAGAUUGAAGGGGGCUGCUCCUAGUACGAGAGGACCGGAGUGGACGAACCUCUGGUGUUCGGGUUGUGUCGCCAGACGCAUUGCCCGGUAGCUAAGUUCGGAAUCGAUAACCGCUGAAAGCAUCUAAGCGGGAAGCGAGCCCUGAGAUGAGUCUUCCCUGAUACUUUAAGUAUCCUAAAGGGUUGUCGGAGACUACGACGUUGAUAGGUCAGGUGUGUAAGUGCUGUGAGGCAUUGAGCUAACUGAUACUAAUUGCCCGUGAGGCUUAACCAU